rnacentral:misc_RNA from 1 species
AAAAGGUAGUCAAAGUACUUGGCACUUCCCUUGUUAGAAUCAUCAACCACCCUUAAAGGACGAUUUCUUUGUGGGCGGCUCUCUAUCUUUGACAAAUUAAUGCCCCUCAAAGCAAACACUGCCAGUGCUUUGAACAGAACACCAGGACCUUCUUCAAGGGUGAAAACAAUGCUCGUCUUAUAGGGUCUGUCAGUUCCAGGAAUUAUAGGUUCUCUUCCAAGUAUCAAAAAGCGGGUAACAUUAUCGUCAUUGUCCUGGAAUUUUUCAGCAAGAAUGUCAAGACCAUAGAUUUCCGCUGCUCGAGCACUUGCAAUGGCGCCCGUUUCUCUGAUGCCACAGGUAGCUACCAUCUGAGCAGCACCAGCUGUAUCAU